rnacentral:lncRNA from 1 species
AAAAAUGUCACAGAACUGACAAAAGGAUAUACAAUUAUACAAAUGUUGAAGUGUUACUCAUUAUUGUACUUGCUCUUUGUCUGUUAGAAAUUUACUCAAUUUUCAGGGCACUUGGAUGGUACAGUUGUUUAAGCAACUGAUUCUUGAUUUUAGCUCAGGUCAUGAUUUCAGGGUCGUGAAAUGGAGCCCUACGUUAGGCUCCUGCUCAUGAGGGUGUCUGAUUGAGAUUCCCUCCCUCUCCCUCUGCCCUUCCCCACUGUACUCUUCUCUCUUUCUAUAAAAUAAAGAAGUCUUAUUUUUUUUAAUUUACUCAAUUUUCAUCCCCAUAGAAAAUUAAAAAUCUGUGAGUGACAUCUUCUACCAAGUUAAUCCUCAAGCAUGUCCAAAAGAAAUAUGUGUCCUUUAAACAAUUUAGACCAUCACAAGUACAAGGAAAGAGGAAGUCUCUUAUGGUUAACAGGAAAAAAAAAUGUAGAAGGAAGUAAGCCAGGGAAAGGAAAACAGCAAACUGAGCCAUGUCAUCAAGAAAAGGAGAUUAUACAAUUCCUGACAAAUAAAAAUACUUAAUAAUCA